GUCUUUCGCACCUGCUGAAAGAUCCCUAAUGGUGCAUGCGAGAGCGUCUGGAGGGAGAGAAUUUCCCUGGAAAAUUUCCUCCACGUAGGAUUUAAAUAGCCUGUGUAAUUUACUUGGCCCCACUGGAAAUUUUGUGACUUGUUUGCCUGUUGUCGACACCUUAGUUUUUGGUACAAAUUUCUCACCAUGAAAGCUCCCUUGCUUUGUUAAGGGAGUUUGAAGGCUCGCUAAUAUAGCUUCAUUCCACUAAUGAACACU
rnacentral:lncRNA from 1 species